UUCCGGUUGAUCCUGCCGGAGGUCACUGCUAUUGGGAUUCGACUAAGUCAUGCGAGUCGCGAGGGUUCGGCCCUCGGCUGACGGCUCAGUAACACGCGGAUAAUCUGCCCUUAGGUGGAGGAUAACCUCGGGAAACUGAGAAUAAGACUCCAUAGAUCUAGGAGGCUGGAAUGCACUUAGAUUUAAAACUUCGGUGCCUAAGGAUGAGUCUGCGGACUAUCAGGUAGUAGUCAGGGUAAUGACCUGACCAGCCUAUGCCGGAUACGGGUUGUGAGAGCAAUAACCCGGAGAUGAUAUCUGAGACACGAUAUCAGGCCCUACGGGGCGCAGCAGGCGCGAAAACUUCACACUGUGCGAAAGCACGAUGAGGGAAUCCCAAGUGCUGGCUCGUAAGAGUCAGCUGUUUUUCUGUCUAGAAAACAGAGAGAGUAAGAGCUGGGUAAGACGGGUGCCAGCCGCCGCGGUAAUACCUGCAGCUCAAGUGGUGGCCGCUAUUAUUGGGCCUAAAACGUUCGUAGCCGGUCUAGUAAAUGCCUGGGUAAAUCAUACGGCUUAACCGUAUGAAUUCCGGGUAGACUGCUGGACUUGGGACUGGGAGGGGCUAGAGGUACUCCUGGGGUAGAGGUGAAAUUCUGUAAUCCUAGGGGGACGACCAGUGGCGAAGGCGUCUAGCUAGAACAGGUCUGACGGUGAGGAACGAAGCCCUGGGGCGCAAACGGGAUUAGGUACCCCGGUAGUCCAGGGUGUAAACGCUGCUUGCUUGAUGUUAGUCGGGCUCCGAGCCGAUUAGUGUCGGAGAGAAGUUGUUAAGCAAGCUGCCUGGGGGAGUACGGCCGCAAGACUGAAACUUAAAGGAAUUGGCGGG
rnacentral:rRNA from 1 species